GACGAACGCUGGCGGCGUGCUUAACACAUGCAAGUCGAACGGUUAGAGCCUGUUCGGGUGUGUUUCUCGAGGGGCGAGCGUGUGUGUAACGUGGGAGUAACCCGCCCUUGACUUGGGUAUAACUGGAGGAAAGUGGGUCUAAUACCAGAUUUCAGCUCCUGCGCCUGGGUGGGGGUAGAAAAGUCCCGGCGGUUGGGGUUGGACUCGCGGCUUGUCAGCUUGUUGGUGGGGUAGCGGCUUACCAAGGCUUUGAAGGGUAGCUGGCCUGAGAGGGCGACCGGCCAGAUUGGGACUGAGAUACGGCCCAGACUCCUACGGGAGGCAGCAGUGGGGAAUCUUGCACAAUGGGCGGAAGCCUGAUGCAGCGACGCCGCGUGCGGGAUGAAGGCCUUCGGGUUGUAAACCGCUUUCGGCUGUGACGAAGCGUGAGUGACGGUAACGGGAGAAGAAGCCCCGGCUAACUACGUG
rnacentral:rRNA from 1 species